rnacentral:lncRNA from 1 species
CUAUAAUUAAAGUACCUACACAUUUUUAAUAAUAGUUAAAAAUAUAUAUAAUUAACUUAUAUGACAUAUGAAUCAUUUUAAAUCGAUUAUUCAAUCUUAUAUAUUUUUUAUUUUACUAUUCUAUUUUUUAAUUUAUUUAAUUUGAGUGAGACAACGGUACUUAACUUAAAAAUAUACAUUAAUUAUGUAUAUUAAUAAUUUUAU